AACGGCCGUACCAUGCUGAAUAUACCGGUUCUCAUUAGAUCACCGAAGUUAAGCAUCAUUGGGCGCGGUCAGUACUUGGGUGGGUGACCACCUGGGAACACUGCGUGCCGUU
rnacentral:rRNA from 1 species